rnacentral:rRNA from 1 species
CCCUACGGGGCGCAGCAGUAGGGAAUUUUCGUCAAUGGGCGCAAGCCUGAACGAGCAAUGCCGCGUGAACGAGGAAGGUCUUCGGAUCGUAAAGUUCUGUUGAAGGGGAAAAAGAGCGGAGAGAGGAAAUGCUUUCUGAUUGAUAUUACCCUUCGAGGAAGUCACGGCUAACUACGUGCCAGCAGCCGCGGUAAUACGUAGGUGGCGAGCGUUAUCCGGAAUGAUUGGGCGUAAAGGGUGCGUAGGCGGCUUGCUAAGUCUGGAGUGAAAGGUACCGGCUCAACCGGUACAGGCUCUGGAAACUG